rnacentral:rRNA from 1 species
ACGAACGCUGGCGGCGUGCCUAAUACAUGCAAGUUGAGCGCUGAAGGUUGGUACUUGUACCAACUGGAUGAGCAGCGAACGGGUGAGUAACGCGUGGGGAAUCUGCCUUUGAGCGGGGGACAACAUUUGGAAACGAAUGCUAAUACCGCAUAAAAACUUUAAACACAAGUUUUAAGUUUGAAAGAUGCAAUUGCAUCACUCAAAGAUGAUCCCGCGUUGUAUUAGCUAGUUGGUGAGGUAAAGGCUCACCAAGGCGAUGAUACAUAGCCGACCUGAGAGGGUGAUCGGCCACAUUGGGACUGAGACACGGCCCAAACUCCUACGGGAGGCAGCAGUAGGGAAUCUUCGGCAAUGGACGAAAGUCUGACCGAGCAACGCCGCGUGAGUGGAGAAGGUUUUCGGAUCGUAAAACUCUGUUGGUAGAGAAGAACGUUGGUGAGAGUGGAAAGCUCAUCAAGUGACGGUAACUACCCAGAAAGGGACGGCUAACUACGUG